UGCCCGAGCGAAGCGUUCCGAGGCCGUCGGGGUCUCCGCGCCUUCAGGAGGGCGGGAGUGCCAGUCCCCUUACAUAGCAGCAGUAGACAGUAAGGUCACACGAGGACCUGGCUCCGUGUUGCCGUGAGGCUUGCAGCCUUCGAAGCUGGCCCUGGCCCCGCAGCGGUAGGGCUUGUUCCCGCAGUUUAUUAGGUCUCUAGUUAAUCCAGGCAUUGCCUUCCUGUUCUGGUCAGUAGGAAAACAACACCCCGACAACGCUCUGUCUCUAGAAUUUCCUAAAAUCAACAGCUUUACCACCAACCGGCAGAUGUCCGGAGGUGGAGUGGAAAUGUACCUAUUUAUCUAUAGGGCCCCAAACCUCUCUCCCUGUUAGAGCUGUUUUUUCCUUCUAUAUAUUUUUUUCCACUUUACAUUUCCCACAGUUACGUACUCUAACUGCUGGCUGGCUUAUUGUUACGUUUCCCAUUCCAGGUAUACAUGCACUGUAAGAUAAAUACGUUAAAUGAUAUAAAUUAUGAAAUUUUUCUUUCAAUAAAUGUAGACUUUGAUGUAAAAAUGCAUGAAUCAGAAUAAGCAAGCAAAAAAAGGUCACUUUAGGUAAGAUCAGAUAAGGUUAACUGUGUAAUUUAUGUGCAUGCUGGAACAAAAUACAGCUAUUGUAUGAAAACAAUAUUGCCCAUUUUCCUGCCAUACCAAAAGAAACUACAUAAAAACGGAGGCACAAAGAAAUUUUGAAGCUUUGUGAUUUUGCUUCUAGUUUGCUGUUCUUUCCUCCUUUUCACAGAUAAUUGCUGAAAAUCUAGAGGGGGUGGACGGAUUGCAGAAAUCUGGCUAUUUAAAAGGUGGAGAAAUUACGAUUUCUCCUUUCAUGAAUUCUUUGGCAAGG
rnacentral:lncRNA from 1 species